CUACGGGAGGCAGCAGUGGGGAAUUUUGGACAAUGGGGGCAACCCUGAUCCAGCCAUGCCGCGUGCGGGAAGAAGGCCUUCGGGUUGUAAACCGCUUUUAGCCGGGAAGAAAAGGCGGCUCCUAAUACGGGCUGUUCUUGACGGUACCGGCGGAAUAAGCACCGGCUAACUACGUGCCAGCAGCCGCGGUAAUACGUAGGGUGCGAGCGUUAAUCGGAAUUACUGGGCGUAAAGCGUGCGCAGGCGGUUCGUUAAGUCUGAUGUGAAAGCCCCGGGCUCAACCUGGGAAUGGCAUUGGAUACUGGCGGGCUGGAGUGUGGCAGAGGGGGGUGCAAUUCCGCGUGUAGCAGUGAAAUGCGUAGAGAUGCGGAGGAACACCGAUGGCGAAGGCAGCCCCCUGGGCUGACACUGACGCUCAGGCACGAAAGCGUGGGGAGCAAACAGGAUUAGAUACCCGAGUAGUCC
rnacentral:rRNA from 1 species